AGCACCUUAACCACUGUGCCACCUGCCAACCCUGAAACCAAGGACUCUUAAUGCUGUGAUCAAAGAGAGAAGUUCUCCAUAGGAUGCCAUAGUCAUUCAGUAGUGCUAUGUAUUCCUUGAGGAGAUAUAAGG
rnacentral:snoRNA from 1 species